CCUUAUCCCUGGUCAACAUUCUAUGCAGAUCUGAAACUGAAACUAUUGCAAAAUGAUGCAAGACUGUAAGUACUCUCUGGAGUUUGGGUGCAUUAUUUUUGUAAUUCCUUUUAUGUAAUGGAACUAUUUCUUUUUCCAGGGCCAUAUAAACACCUGAAGAGAGGACGAUGUCAGGUCGACAGAUUGUGGAAUUUAGAUUCAGCACCUAAGCUAUUUGAGGUUGACACUCACUGAAAUCUUGAGUGUUUGCACCUGCUGUGGAAUAAGUCAUUGUCCUUGGACACCUUACAAGGUGGAGUUUGUGCACAUUUGGGAAGAAGGAGGCGGCUGGCAGAGUGACUUCCUUAUCGACCCACUCACCAGCAUCUCCAUCUCCCUCAGGGGGUGCUGUCCACCCACCGUGUUUUGUUUACAUCAGUAGCAAAGACAUAUGAAUCAUCUUCCACUUUUUAGCUAUGAAUGAAGAAGUAACCUCUGACACCCACUAGUGCGACUGGCCCUUACAUGCUGGUAUAUGUCAGACUCUUAGCAUCACUCUCAUUUCAUACUGCUGUUGAUGAUGUGAAUUUUGGAAAUAUUCUCCCCUAUUGGGUCUUUCUCCAUGACAGAUGAUGUCCUUUGGCUUCGGUUUUUUGCCUAAGAACUGUAAGUGGUGCUUGCUAGCCCUACUAAGAAUCCUGCCAUUGUUGCAAAUUUCAGAAAAAAGGCUGGAGUGCAGUGGUGCACACGCCUCACACUGUGACACAGCGGGAGAGCCCAGAGCGACAGCUGUUGGAAUGACUGCACUCUUCCUGCUCAAGUCUGACCUUUCCAAGGUAGGAUUUGAUUACAACUAGCAAUAUGGAAUUACAAGCAGGGAGAGGUGCCGAGACCACAAGACAUCAGGAGACUAAAAUAGCAAGGUGGUGAGGCAAUCUGCCUUUUAUUCCCCUUUCAAGCUAUGAGAAGUAGGCAAAUGAUGCGGCUGAACAAUGCCUCCUUGACUUCAGGAUAUAAAAACUACUUUCAUGAGCUUCAAGUCAGG
rnacentral:lncRNA from 10 species